GUACAACUCUGAGCGGUGGAUCACUCGGCUCGUGUGUCGAUGAAGAGCGCAGCCAACUGUGUGAAUUAAUGUGAACUGCAUACUGCUUUGAACAUCGACAUCUU
rnacentral:rRNA from 3 species